rnacentral:rRNA from 1 species
GAUGAACGCUGGCGGCGUGCCUAAUACAUGCAAGUCGAGCGAACAGACGAUGCUCUUGCUCCUCUCUCGUUUGCGGCGCACGGGUGAGUCACACGUGUAUCACCUACCUAUAAUACUGGUAUAACCUCGAGAAACCGGCUCUAAUCCCGGAUGAUCUCUUGCACCGCAGUGUUCAAUAGUAAAAGACGGUGUUUCUGUCACUUAUAGCUGGUUCCGCGCCGCAUUGGCUAGUUGGGAGGGUAACGGCUUACCAAGGGGACGAUGCGUAGCCGACGUGAUAGGGUGAUAGCCCACAUGGGAAGUGGACCACGGACAAGACUCCUACGAGAGGCAGCAGAAGGGAAUGGGCGGCAGUGGGCGAAAGCCUGACGGAGCAAGGCGGAGUGAGUGAUGAAGGUGUCGGGAUCGUAAAAACCUGUUACGAGGGAAGAACAAAUUUGGAAGUAAAUAUGCACGGAUUGACGGUACUUGAUAAGAAAGCAACGGCUAACUACGUG